GCCAGGCAUGGUGGCAUGUGCCUGUAAUCCCAGCUACUCGGGAGGCUGAGGCAGGAGAAUUGCUUGAACCCAGGAGGAGGAGGUUGCAGUGAGCCAAGAUCGUGCCACUGCACUCCAGCCUGGGUGACAGAGUAAGACCCUGUCUCAA
rnacentral:SRP_RNA from 1 species